AUGUCAAAGCAAACAGUGAAUAAGUCAGCUUAGUUUCCAGGUGAAGGAAAGACGGAAAGCAAUUAAAAAGUCCAGAGAAAGAACUGGCAAUUCAGCUUCCUGCAAAAUCAUCUUGAUUUGACCAAUACCCAAUUGAUUAAGGUGAAGGAAAGACGGAAAGCAAUUAAAAAGUCCAGAGAAAGAACUGGCAAUUCAGCUUCCUGCAAAAUCAUCUUGAUUUGACCAAUACCCAAUUGAUUAAGGUGAAGGAAAGACGGAAAACAAUUAAAAAGUCCAGAGAAAGAACUGGCAAUUCAGCUUCCUGCAAAAUCAUCUUGAUUUGACCAAUACCCAAUUGAUUAAGGUAUACCCUUUCCUUAAUUGACGUUCUACACCUUUUCUACUCCAAAAUUUCUGAAAGGUUGAUUUUGAAUAUAGGGUUUCUUACUCUUCAAAAUGUCAUGCUGUUUCCUUAUUUCUUUUAAAACCAUAGAAAAGAGAAGAAAAGUAUCAAAACAAAAUUUUAUGAAGGUUUUAAGGGGAAAAGAAAAAAAUUUCAAAGUUAAUAGGGAAAUGUUGGUCGUAAAUUUUUGUUCCGAGUAAAGUAUAAUUUAUCUCGUAUUAAUGUAGUUUAAACCAUGCAUUUUCUAAAUUAAAGUUCAGUCUUUAUGAUUUGAUUUUCCUAUUUUGUAUAAAUUAUUAGGUUUGUACGAGAGAUUUGCAUACGUCUAGACUUCUAAAUGACAAUAACAGAAACUAAAUUUAUAAGAUCUUGUAAUUUCAAGUAAAAUCAUAAAACCUAAGCUGUCAUUAAAAAAGAAAACGGAUAGAAACUGAACUUGUAAGAAAUAUAAGAUUUGAAUUUCUGUAAAAACUAAAUCACUAGCUUUGAAAGUGUAUUUUUUUUUUUUUGAAAAAAGGAAAUUGAUUAUAGAAAAUAAGGACGAAAACAGAUCCUAGCAUGGUAUGCCUUUACUCUGAGCACAUUCCAAAAUCCUAUAUAAUAUAAACAAAAGCCAGCAGGAGAU